CAGUAGCCGCGGUAAUACGUAGGUGGCAAGCGUUGUCCGGAAUUAUUGGGCGUAAAGGGCUCGCAGGCGGUUUCUUAAGUCUGAUGUGAAAGCCCCCGGCUCAACCGGGGGGGGUCAUUGGAAACUGGGAAACUUGAGUGCAGAAGAGGAGAGUGGAAUUCCACGUGUAGCGGUGAAAUGCGUAGAGAUGUGGAGGAACACCAGUGGCGAAGGCGACUCUCUGGUCUGUAACUGACGCUGAGGAGCGAAAGCGUGGGGAGCGAACAGGAUUAGAUACCCCUGUAGUCCCUGUCUCUUAUAC
rnacentral:rRNA from 1 species